GCCAGGGACUAACUUACGACGCUUAUCAGUGUCAUCGUCGUCAGGAGCAUGUGUAUGCUUGCUAUAAUGCAAUGAAUCAAGCGUCAAAGAAGAAGCACAAGGAAUAAAGGAGAUUGGAUUCUUCAAACUUAUCAGAAAAUUGCACAAGUGUUACUCAUGUAAUUGAUCUGACAGAUACUGCUUCUUCCACCUCCACAAGCAAUAAGAGGAGAAGGCUGCAAUUACCCAACAUUAAUUGAGGUCCAUUGGUUUGAUUUGGUUUACCUAUUUUACUAAUAACCAUUGUUAAAUAUCCAUUCCCUCUUCUUCUUUUUUUCUCUAUAUUUUAUGACCAAAUUACUGGUUUGGGUUUUUUUUUUUAAAAAAAAAUUUUACCUUCGUUUUAAUUGAGUGCACUGUGAAAAUUGUGUUUGGCUUUGGAA